GAUCAUGGCUCAGGAUGAACGCUGGCGGCGUGCCUAACACAUGCAAGUCGAGCGAUUCACUCGGUGAAGAGCGGCGGACGGGUGAGUAACGCGUGGGUAACCUGCCUCAUACACGUGGAUAACAUACCGAAAGGUAUGCUAAUACAGGAUAACAUAAGAGAUUCACAUGUAUCUCUUAUCAAAGCUCCGGCGGUAUGAGAUGGACCCGCGUCUGAUUAGCUAGUUGGUAAGGUAACGGCUUACCAAGGCGACGAUCAGUAGCCGACCUGAGAGGGUGAUCGGCCACAUUGGAACUGAGACACGGUCCAAACUCCUACGGGAGGCAGCAGUGGGGAAUAUUGCACAAUGGGCGAAAGCCUGAUGCCAGCAACGCCGCGUGAGUGAUGAAGGCCUUCGGGUCGUAAAACUCUGUCCUCAAGGAAGAUAAUGACGGUACUUGAGGAGGAAGCCCCGGCUAACUACGUGCCAGCAGCCGC
rnacentral:rRNA from 1 species